rnacentral:rRNA from 1 species
GGUUAAGCGACUAAGCGUACACGGUGGAUGCCCUGGCAGUCAGAGGCGAUGAAGGACGUGCUAAUCUGCGAAAAGCGUCGGUAAGGUGAUAUGAACCGUUAUAGCCGGCGAUGUCCGAAUGGGGAAACCCAGUGCAAUUCGUUGCACUAUCGUUAACUGAAUACAUAGGUUAACGAGGCGAACCGGGGGAACUGAAACAUCUAAGUACCCCGAGGAAAAGAAAUCAACCGAGAUUCCCCCAGUAGCGGCGAGCGAACGGGGAGCAGCCCGGAGUCUGAAUCAGCUUGUGUGUUAGUGGAAGCGUCUGGAAAGUCGCAGGGUACAGGGUGAUACUCCCGUACACUAAAACACACAGGUUGUGAACUCGAAGAGUAGGGCGGGACACGUGGUAUCCUGUCUGAAUAUGGGGGGACCAUCCUCCAAGGCUAAAUACUCCUGACUGACCGAUAGUGAACCAGUACCGUGAGGGAAAGGCGAAAAGAACCCCGGCGAGGGGAGUGAAAAAGAACCUGAAACCGUGUACGUACAAGCAGUAGGAGCCCACUUGUUGGGUGACUGCGUACCUUUUGUAUAAUGGGUCAGCGACUUAUAUUCUGUAGCAAGGUUAACCGUAUAGGGGAGCCGCAGGGAAACCGAGUCUUAACUGGGCGUUAAGUUGCAGGGUAUAGACCCGAAACCCGGUGAUCUAGCCAUGGGCAGGUUGAAGGUUGGGUAACACUAACUGGAGGACCGAACCGACUAAUGUUGAAAAAUUAGCGGAUGACUUGUGGCUGGGGGUGAAAGGCCAAUCAAACCGGGAGAUAGCUGGUUCUCCCCGAAAGCUAUUUAGGUAGCGCCUCGUGAACUCAUCUUCGGGGGUAGAGCACUGUUUCGGCUAGGGGGUCAUCCCGACUUACCAACCCGAUGCAAACUACGAAUACCGAAGAAUGUUAUCACGGGAGACACACGGCGGGUGCUAACGUCCGUCGUGAAGAGGGAAACAACCCAGACCGCCAGCUAAGGUCCCAAAGUCAUGGUUAAGUGGGAAACGAUGUGGGAAGGCCCAGACAGCCAGGAUGUUGGCUUAGAAGCAGCCAUCAUUUAAAGAAAGCGUAAUAGCUCACUGGUCGAGUCGGCCUGCGCGGAAGAUGUAACGGGGCUAAACCAUGCACCGAAGCUGCGGCAGCGACACUAUGUGUUGUUGGGUAGGGGAGCGUUCUGUAAGCCGUUGAAGGUGGCCUGUGAGGGUUGCUGGAGGUAUCAGAAGUGCGAAUGCUGACAUAAGUAACGAUAAUGCGGGUGAAAAACCCGCACGCCGGAAGACCAAGGGUUCCUGUCCAACGUUAAUCGGGGCAGGGUGAGUCGACCCCUAAGGCGAGGCCGAAAGGCGUAGUCGAUGGGAAACAGGUUAAUAUUCCUGUACUCGGUGUUACUGCGAAGGGGGGACGGAGAAGGCUAUGUUGGCCGGGCGACGGUUGUCCCGGUUUAAGCAUGUAGGCGGAUGUUCCAGGUAAAUCCGGAACGUUAUCAACGCUGAGGUGUGAUGACGAGGCACUACGGUGCUGAAGUGACAAAUGCCCUGCUUCCAGGAAAAGCCUCUAAGCAUCAGGUAACAUCAAAUCGUACCCCAAACCGACACAGGUGGUCAGGUAGAGAAUACCAAGGCGCUUGAGAGAACUCGGGUGAAGGAACUAGGCAAAAUGGUGCCGUAACUUCGGGAGAAGGCACGCUGAUGGUAGGUGAAGUGACUUGCUCAUGGAGCUGAAAUCAGUCGAAGAUACCAGCUGGCUGCAACUGUUUAUUAAAAACACAGCACUGUGCAAACACGAAAGUGGACGUAUACGGUGUGACGCCUGCCCGGUGCCGGAAGGUUAAUUGAUGGGGUUAUCCGUAAGGAGAAGCUCUUGAUCGAAGCCCCGGUAAACGGCGGCCGUAACUAUAACGGUCCUAAGGUAGCGAAAUUCCUUGUCGGGUAAGUUCCGACCUGCACGAAUGGCGUAAUGAUGGCCAGGCUGUCUCCACCCGAGACUCAGUGAAAUUGAACUCGCUGUGAAGAUGCAGUGUACCCGCGGCAAGACGGAAAGACCCCGUGAACCUUUACUAUAGCUUGACACUGAACACUGGUCCUUGAUGUGUAGGAUAGGUGGGAGGCUUUGAAGUGUGGACGCCAGUCUGCAUGGAGCCAUCCUUGAAAUACCACCCUUUAAUGGCUGGUGUUCUAACGUGGGCCCCUAAUCGGGGUUGCGGACAGUGUCUGGUGGGUAGUUUGACUGGGGCGGUCUCCUCCUAAAGAGUAACGGAGGAGCACGAAGGUCAGCUAAUCCUGGUCGGACAUCAGGAGGUUAGUGCAAUGGCAUAAGCUGGCUUGACUGCGAGCGUGACGGCGCGAGCAGGUGCGAAAGCAGGUCAUAGUGAUCCGGUGGUUCUGAAUGGAAGGGCCAUCGCUCAACGGAUAAAAGGUACUCCGGGGAUAACAGGCUGAUACCGCCCAAGAGUUCAUAUCGACGGCGGUGUUUGGCACCUCGAUGUCGGCUCAUCACAUCCUGGGGCUGAAGUAGGUCCCAAGGGUAUGGCUGUUCGCCAUUUAAAGUGGUACGCGAGCUGGGUUUAGAACGUCGUGAGACAGUUCGGUCCCUAUCUGCCGUGGGCGCUGGAGAAUUGAGGGGGGCUGCUCCUAGUACGAGAGGACCGGAGUGGACGCAUCACUGGUGUUCGGGUUGUCAUGCCAAUGGCAUUGCCCGGUAGCUAAAUGCGGAAGAGAUAAGUGCUGAAAGCAUCUAAGCACGAAACUUGCCCCGAGAUGAGUUCUCCCUGACCCUUUAAGGGUCCUGAAGGAACGUUGAAGACGACGACGUUGAUAGGCCGGGUGUGUAAGCGCAGCGAUGCGUUGAGCUAACCGGUACUAAUGAACCGUGAGGCUUAACCUU